rnacentral:lncRNA from 1 species
GGGCCGUAACUAGGGUUCGAAUUCAGGGGAGGCAUGGGUUUUGGGGCCACCGAUUUAGGCCCCCAUAAUAGGGGGUUGGGGGGGGGGCACAGCCCCCAGCCGAUUUUUUUCUCUCAGUCAUUGGCUAAAAAUGACCCGUUUCCCUUCGAUUUCCUUAAUUUAAGAAACAUCAGUAUUGCUUGAACCUGGAAGCAACUUUUAUGCAAAAACAAGCUGAGAUUGCUGUUCUGGGUGAGCCAAGGCUCCGUCUUGAAGGCCGUACUUUGACCUAUAAUUGUUAACAUUA